rnacentral:lncRNA from 1 species
GGUGAGGGAAAACAUGUUUGCUUCCCUAAAUAUCCUCUAUAAAAUAUCCUUUUUCGAAUUAUUAGGGCACAUAAAAAAGAGCAAAAAAAAAACACAAACGGCUGAAAAUCAGCACUUUCCAAAAAGAUUUUGAAAAUAAUUGUUGAGUUUCUUUCUAUUUUCUAGAGUUUUGCUGGGAGUUUUUUUAGAGAUUGGAACAAGGCUUUGAUGUUUGAUUCACUGCUGGUUGUUGAGCUGAGCUACUGCAGAUUUCCUUGUCUCUUUAAGCGGAUUUUUUUUCGUUUUUAGGUAUUUUUCUGAACUUUGUAUGCUUGAUUUGAGUUGUUUUAAAUGAAAGCUUGAUUCCCUUAGACAUUUGAGCAAUAAUGAAGUUAGAUUCUUGUAAUGAUUUUUGGACUCCGGCCUGUUUUAAAGAUUUAAAUCUACUUUAUUUUUUUCAUUUUGUUAUUUUUCAGCUAACUUGUGUAAUGUUUGAAGCAUGAGGAUAUUGAAAAUGGUCUAUGGACAUCUUUAGUCAAAUGAAACAUGCUAUAUAUGAUGCCUUCUUCUUUUCCCAGAAACAUUUCAUGCUAGCCAUGAAUAGUAUAAAGGCAUCAGUUACUAAAUGUCCUUUUUAAAAAUAUAUUUUUAAGGUUGAGAAUGUUGUUAAAGGUCAGGAAGAUUUAGUUGUGGUAUGCAUAGAAAUUCUACCAUAUUUUUCUUUAUUUGAAGCUUUGUAAAUAUGUGUUAAGUUAUUUAUUAUUGGUUCUUAGGUGCGGUUUGCAAAUCUGACCACUAAUUGAUUAGAUUGGCAAGCUCUAAUGCUAAAAGAAGGGAUUGAAAGUUGCUGAAAAGGGUUGGAGCUGAAGAUUAAAUUAGACAGUGUAAUUUAUUACGGCAAAUGACUGUAUACAAUGGAAGGCCUUAAUUAUCAGGAGUUGUAUUUGAAAAUGGUCAGGGGUCCUGUGUGACAAGAAAGUUCCACACAAACUCAAGGGGAAAUUCUAUAGAGCCGUNNNN